GACGAACGCUGGCGGCGUGCUUAACACAUGCAAGUCGAGCGGAAAGGCCUUUCGGGGUACUCGAGCGGCGAACGGGUGAGUAACACGUGAGUAAUCUGCCCUUCACUCUGGGAUAGCCACCGGAAACGGUGAUUAAUACCGGAUAUGACCACUCCCGGCAUCGGGUGGUGGUGGAAACUUUUUUGGGUGGGGGAUGUGCUCGCGGCCUAUCAGCUUGUUGGUGGGGUAAUGGCCUACCAAGGCUUCGACGGGUAGCCGGCCUGAGAGGGUGACCGGCCACACUGGGACUGAGACACGGCCCAGACUCCUACGGGAGGCAGCAGUGGGGAAUAUUGGACAAUGGGCGGAAGCCUGAUCCAGCAACGCCGCGUGAGGGAUGACGGCCUUCGGGUUGUAAACCUCUUUCAGCACCGACGAAGCGAAAGUGACGGUAGGUGCAGAAGAAGGACCGGCCAACUACGUGCCAGCCGCCGCCGUAAUAC
rnacentral:rRNA from 1 species